rnacentral:rRNA from 1 species
AUUGAACGCUGGCGGCAGGCUUAACACAUGCAAGUCGAGCGGGGGAAGGUAGCUUGCUACCGGACCUAGCGGCGGACGGGUGAGUAAUGCUUCGGAAUCUGCCUAUUGGUGGUGGACAACAUCUCGAAAGGGAUGCUAAUACCGCAUACGUCCUACGGGAGAAAGCAGGGGAUCUGCGGACCUUGCGCUAAUAUAUGAGCCUAAGUCGGAUUAGCUAGUUGGUGGGGUAAAGGCCUCAGAAGGCGACGAUCUGUAGCGGGUCUGAGAGGAUGAUCCGCCACACUGGGACUGCGACACGGCCCAGACUCCUACGGGAGGCAGCAGUGGGGAAUAUUGGAAAAUGGGGGGAACCCUGAUCCAGCCAUGCCGCGUGUGUGAAGAAGGCCUUAGGGUUGUAAAGCACUUUAAGCGAGGAGGAGGCUACUCUAGUUAAUACCUAGGGAUAGUGGACGUUACUCGCAGAAUAAGCACCGGCUAACUCUGUGCCAGCAGCCGCGGUAA